rnacentral:sRNA from 1 species
AGUCUCCUCAGACGCCGAGAUGCGGGCCAUGGCGCCCCGAACCCUCCUCCUGCUGCUCUCGGGGGCCCUGGCCCCGACCGAGACCUGGGCCGGCUCCCACUCCAUGAGGUAUUUCAGCACCGCCGUGUCCCGGCCCGGCCGCGGGGAGCCCCGCUUCAUCGCAGUGGGCUACGUGGACGACACCCAGUUCGUGCGGUUCGACAGCGACGCCGUGAGUCCGAGGGUGGAGCCGCUGGUGCCAUUGAUAGAGCAGGAGGGGCCGGAGUAUUGGGACCAGGAGACACAGAAAGCCAAGACCCAGGCACAGAAUGACCGAGUGAGCCUGCGGAACCUGCGCGGCUACUACAACCAGAGCGAGGACGGUGAGUGACCCCGGCCCGGGGCGCAGGUCACGACCCCUCAUCCCCCACGGACGGCCCGGGUCGCCCCGAGUCUCCGGGUCCGAGAUCCGCCCCGAGGCCGCGGGACCCGCCCAGACCUUCGACCGGAGAGAGCCCCAGGCGCCUUUACCCGGUUUCAUUUUCAGUUGAGGCCAAAAUCCCCGCGGGUUGGUCGGGGCGGGGCGGGGCUCGGGGGACUGGGCUGACCGCGGGGACGGGGCCAGGGUCUCACACCUGGCAGAGGAUGUAUGGCUGCGACGUGGGGCCCGACGGGCGCCUUCUCCGUGGGUAUUGCCAGUUCGCCUACGACGGCAAGGAUUACAUCGCCCUGAACGAGGACCUGAGCUCUUGGACCGCCGCGGACACCGCGGCUCAGAUCACCCAGCGCAAGUGGGAGGCGGCCCGUGAGGCGGAGCAGUUGAGAGCCUACCUGGAGGGCCUGUGCGUGGAGUCGCUCCGCAGAUACCUGGAGAA